AGAGUUUGAUCAUGGCUCAGGACGAACGCUGGCGGCGCGCUUAAUACAUGCAAGUCGAGCGAGAACCGGACCUUCGGGUCCGGGGAAAGCGGCGAACGGGUGAGUAACACGUGGGUAAUCUGCCCUCGGCACUGGGAUAGCCCGGGGAAACCCGGAUUAAUACCGGAUGGCCUCUCGAGCUCUCGAGCUCGUGAGAAAAGGUGGCUUCGGCUUCCGGCUGAGGAUGAGCCCGCGGCGGAUUAGCUUGUUGGUGAGGUAAUGGCUCACCAAGGCUCCGAUCCGUAGCUGGUCUGAGAGGACGAUCAGCCACACUGGGACUGAGACACGGCCCAGACUCCUACGGGAGGCAGCAGUAGGGAAUCUUGCGCAAUGGGCGAAAGCCUGACGCAGCGACGCCGCGUGCGGGAAGAAGGCCUUCGGGUUGUAAACCGCUUUCAGGAGGGACGAAGCUACUCGGGUUAAUAGCCCAGAGGGUGACGGUACCUCCAGAAGAAGCCCCGGCUAACUACGUGCCAGCAGCCGCGGUA
rnacentral:rRNA from 1 species